rnacentral:rRNA from 1 species
AUGCUCUGUAGUUGAAAGGUCCGCCGCCAUAGGAUGGGUCUGCGGCCGAUUAGGUUGUUGUUGGGGUAACGGCCCAACAAGCCUGUAAUCGGUACGGGUUGUGGGAGCAAGAGCCCGGAGAUGGAUUCUGAGACACGAAUCCAGGCCCUACGGGGCGCAGCAGGCGCGAAAACUUUACAAUGCGGGAAACCGUGAUAAGGGAACUCCGAGUGCCCGUUAAAUCGGGCUGUCCACCAGUUUAAAAAACUGGUGAAGAAAGGGCCGGGCAAGACCGGUGCCAGCCGCCGCGGUAAUACCGGCGGCUCGAGUGGUGGCCAUUAUUACUGGGCUUAAAGCGUUCGUAGCUGGUUUGUUAAGUCUCUGGGGAAAUCUGCCGGCUUAACCGGCAGGCGUCUCAGGGAUACUGGCAGACUAGGGACCGGGAGAGGUGAGGGGUACUCCAGGGGUAGGAGUGAAAUCCUGUAAUCCUUGGGGGACCACCUGUGGCGAAGGCGCCUCACCAGAACGGCUCCGACAGUGAGGGACGAAAGCUGGGGGAGCAAACCGGAUUAGAUACCCGGGUAGUCCCAGCUGUAAACGAUGCGCGUUAGGUGUAUCGGUGACCACGAGUCACCGAGGUGCCGAAGAGAAAUCGUGA